GACGAACGCUGGCGGCGUGCUUAACACAUGCAAGUCGAGCGGUAAGGCCCUUUCGGGGUACGACGAGCGGCGAACGGGUGAGUAACACGUGGGUGACCUGCCCUCAGCUCUGGGAUAAGCCCUGGGAAACUGGGUCUAAUACCGGGAUAUGACUCCAUGACGCAUGUUGUGGGGUGGAAAGCCUUGUGCGGCUGAGGAUGGGCCCGCGGCCUAUCAGCUUGUUGGUGGGGUGANGGCCUACCAAGGCGACGACGGGUAGCCGGCCUGAGAGGGCGACCGGCCACACUGGGACUGGGA
rnacentral:rRNA from 1 species